GAUGAACGCUUGCUACAGGCUUAACACAUGCAAGUCGCGGGGCAGCAUGGGGGUUGCUUGCAAUCCCCGAUGGCGACCGGCGCACGGGUGAGUAACGCGUAUCCAACCUGCCCUUCACCACGGGAUAACCCGGCGAAAGUCGGACUAAUACCGUAUGUUGUCCAUUGACGGCAUCCGAUUUGGACGAAAGGUUUGGCGGUGAAGGAUGGGGAUGCGUCCGAUUAGCUGGACGGCGGGGUGACGGCCCACCGUGGCGACGAUCGGUAGGGGUUCUGAGAGGAAGGUCCCCCACACUGGAACUGAGACACGGUCCAGACUCCUACGGGAGGCAGCAGUGAGGAAUAUUGGUCAAUGGGCGUAAGCCUGAACCAGCCAAGUAGCGUGCAGGAUGACGGCCCUAUGGGUUGUAAACUGCUUUUAUGCGGGGAUAAAGUGGCCCACGUGUGGGUUUUUGCAGGUACCGCAUGAAUAAGGACCGGCUAAUUCCGUG
rnacentral:rRNA from 1 species